rnacentral:rRNA from 1 species
UGACCUACGGGGGGCAGCAGUGGGGAAUAUUGCACAAUGGGGGAAACCCUGAUGCAGCGACGCCGCGUGAGUGAAGAAGUAUCUCGGUACGUAAAGCUCUAUCAGCAGGGAAGAAAAUGACGGUACCUGACUAAGAAGCCCCGGCUCACUACGUGCCAGCAGCCGCGGUAAUACGUAGGGGACAAGCGUUAUCCGGAUUUACUGGGUGUAAAGGGAGCGUAGACGGCAGCGCAAGUCUGGAGUGAAAUGCC